rnacentral:misc_RNA from 1 species
UUAAUUGAUUGUAUGGUUAUUGAAUUUUGAGUAUGCUUGUUGAAAGGCAUUUGGAAUGAUGAUUCAUUGUUGUGUUUAUGAUGCCAGUGGUUCUACUGUCAUGACUCAUAGUAGCUACAUAUUUUGGUGUCUGAUUCAUUUAUUGCCUGAUUCUAGCGUGCGUGUACUUUCUUUUAUUCUUUAUUUGCAAAGUACAGUUUCAAGAUUGUGCUAGUUUUU